GACGAACGCUGGCGGCGUGCUUAACACAUGCAAGUCGAACGGAAAGGCCCUGCUCUUGUGGGGUGCUCGAGUGGCGAACGGGUGAGUAACACGUGAGUAACCUGCCCUUGACUUUGGGAUAACUUCAGGAAACUGGGGCUAAUACCGGAUAGGAGCUCCUGCUGCAUGGUGGGGGUUGGAAAGUUUCGGCGGUUGGGGAUGGACUCGCGGCUUAUCAGCUUGUUGGUGGGGUAGUGGAUUACCAAGGCUUUGACGGGUAGGCGGCCUGAGAGGGUGACCGGCCACAAUGGGACUGAGAUACGGCCCAGACUCCUACGGGAGGCAACAGUGGGGAAUAUUGCACAAUGGGCGGAAGCCUGAUGCAGCAACGCCGCGUGCGGGAUGACCGCCUUCGGGUUGUAAACCGCUUUCGCCUGUGACGAAGCGUGAGUGACGGUAAUGGGUAAAGAAGCACCGGCUAACUACGUG
rnacentral:rRNA from 1 species